rnacentral:rRNA from 1 species
AUUGAACGCUGGCGGCAGGCCUAACACAUGCAAGUCGAGCGGAGUUUUCGGACCUAGCGGCGGACGGGUGAGUAAUGCGUAGGAAGCUACCCGAUAGAGGGGGAUACCAGUUGGAAACGACUGUUAAUACCGCAUAAUGUCUACGGACCAAAGUGUGGGACCUUCGGGCCACAUGCUAUCGGCAGCGCCUACGUGGGAUUAGCUAGUUGGUGAGGGGAUGGCUCACCAAGGCGACGAUCCGCAGCUGGUUUGAGAGGAUGAUCAGCCACACUGGGACUGAGACACGGUCCCGACUCCAACGGGAGGCAGCAGUGGGGAAUGUUGGACGAUGAGCGCAAGCCUGAUCCAGCCAUGCCGCGUGUGUGAAGAAGGCCUUCGGGUUGUAAAGCACUUUCAGUAGGGAGGAAGCGUUGUGUGUUAAUAGUACGCAGCGUUGACGUUACCUACAGAAGAAGCACCGGCUAACUCUGUGCCAGCAGCCGCCGCAGUAA